CUAAUACAUGCAAGUCGAGCGAACGGACGAGAAGCUUGCUUCUCUGAUGUUAGCGGCGGACGGGUGAGUAACACGUGGAUAACCUACCUAUAAGACUGGGAUAACUUCGGGAAACCGGAGCUAAUACCGGAUAAUAUUUUGAACCGCAUGGUUCAAAAGUGAAAGACGGUCUUGCUGUCACUUAUAGAUGGAUCCGCGCUGCAUUAGCUAGUUGGUAAGGUAACGGCUUACCAAGGCAACGAUGCAUAGCCGACCUGAGAGGGUGAUCGGCCACACUGGAACUGAGACACGGUCCAGACUCCUACGGGAGGCAGCAGUAGGGAAUCUUCCGCAAUGGGCGAAAGCCUGACGGAGCAACGCCGCGUGAGUGAUGAAGGUCUUCGGAUCGUAAAACUCUGUUAUUAGGGAAGAACAUAUGUGUAAGUAACUGUGCACAUCUUGACGGUACCUAAUCAGAAAGCCACGGCUAACUACGUGCCAGCAGCCGCGGUAAUACGUAGGUGGCAAGCGUUAUCCGGAAUUAUUGGGCGUAAAGCGCGCGUAGGCGGUUUUUUAAGUCUGAUGUGAAAGCCCACGGCUCAACCGUGGAGGGUCAUUGGAAACUGGAAAACUUGAGUGCAGAAGAGGAAAGUGGAAUUCCAUGUGUAGCGGUGAAAUGCGCAGAGAUAUGGAGGAACACCAGUGGCGAAGGCGACUUUCUGGUCUGUAACUGACGCUGAUGUGCGAAAGCGUGGGGAUCAAACAGGAUUAGAUACCCUGGUAGUCCACGCCGUAAACGAUGAGUGCUAAGUGUUAGGGGGUUUCCGCCCCUUAGUGCUGCAGCUAACGCAUUAAGCACUCCGCCUGGGGAGUACGACCGCAAGGUUGAAACUCAAAGGAAUUGACGGGGACCCGCACAAGCGGUGGAGCAUGUGGUUUAAUUCGAAGCAACGCGAAGAACCUUACCAAAUCUUGACAUCCUUUGACAACUCUAGAGAUAGAGCCUUCCCCUUCGGGGGACAAAGUGACAGGUGGUGCAUGGUUGUCGUCAGCUCGUGUCGUGAGAUGUUGGGUUAAGUCCCGCAACGAGCGCAACCCUUAAGCUUAGUUGCCAUCAUUAAGUUGGGCACUCUAAGUUGACUGCCGGUGACAAACCGGAGGAAGGUGGGGAUGACGUCAAAUCAUCAUGCCCCUUAUGAUUUGGGCUACACACGUGCUACAAUGGACAAUACAAAGGGCAGCGAAACCGCGAGGUCAAGCAAAUCCCAUAAAGUUGUUCUCAGUUCGGAUUGUAGUCUGCAACUCGACUACAUGAAGCUGGAAUCGCUAGUAAUCGUAGAUCAGCAUGCUACGGUGAAUACGUUCCCGGGUCUUGUACACACCGCCCGUCACACCACGAGAGUUUGUAACACCCGAAGCCGGUGGAGUAACCUUUUAGGAGCUAGCCGUCGAAGGUGGGACAAAUGAUUGGGGUGAAGUCGUAACAAGGUAGCCGUAUCGGAAGGUGCGGCUGGAUCACCU
rnacentral:rRNA from 1 species